rnacentral:misc_RNA from 1 species
AAAAAAGGAAAACUAAUUAUUUCAAGAAACUGAAUGGGGUAUGAACUAACUUCAGAAUCUACCACGUUGAAAUUGUGAUUUGCCACUCGAAACCAUGAGCUUUGCUGAAAGAAAAAACUGACGCUUUCCAACAAACAUUAUUGAUUCUUCCGUCGGAGGUUUCUUACUGAAUCUGAUGCCUUCUCUGUCCUUAUGUUGCAGUCACCAUUGUUUUCGAACUUUCAUGUUUCAUGUUUGUGUAAAAACAGCCAGAAAGAGUUUCUGAGAUAUAAUCUUCACCUGAGUUUCAAGCUGUACUUGUAAGAUUCUGGUGGAAAAUGAGCACCAAA